AGGAGGAAGGCGCAGGGCUGUCAGUGCCACCCUGAUCAUGGCACUGUGUCCACCCGAACCCUCCUCGUCCUGCCCACCCGUUGCACACCCCCAGCCCCACAGCCAAAAAGCAAAGGCAUCUUCAGGCUACCAAAGAACAUUUCCUCCAGUGCCACUGCCCGCAGACACAGACAUUGCAGUUCUAUUGUAAAGUGAAAUAUAAAUAAUAUUUCCUGUUCCCGCUACAGAAACCUGCAGGAGGUGGUUGGGGGUUACAAGUACUUUCCCAUGCUGACUUCAGACUGAAAGCAAGGAAUUUUCAGCACCAACUCGCCUGCUGGCUUCAGCCAUCUCUAAGAACAAAGGCGCACGGGGAGAAGCACAAACCACGUUCACGUCUGGCCACAUCCCAGACCCAAUUCCCGCAACGCUGCACGGAGGGGAAGCUCACGCAGAAAAUCAGUAGGCAUUUUUGUCAAGUGUUGUCCUCCUGCGAUUGAGCUAGUGAUACAAACUCCUCACGUUAUUCAGAUUCCUCUAUCCCUAGGCACCUUACGUGCUCUCCCCUGGCAUCUUUGUGUCUCGCGCUCUCUGACAGCUUCAUCAUCUCAGGAGGCUCAACAGCCUGCAUGAAGCAUGUCCACUAACACUGGUGCCAGCUGUCAGUGCUUGUGAGUAUUUGCAAAGCAGCUUCCUCCUCCUCCUCCUCCUCCUCCUCCUCCUGCAGGCUCUGCAGCCGGCCGUGGAGCUGCGGACCCGACUGCUGGUCCCUGCACGUGGCCAAGCUCCAGCUCCUGGGCACCCAAGUGACAGAAAGUCCCCUUGGACUUCGCUCUGCUCAGCAAUAAAUGUCACAGCCUGACAGCGGUGCUGAAAAUAUAUGGAUGGGACAGAGGGGCAACGCUUUACAGAAGCCAAUACGAGGGCACUCAUUUAUACUCAGGAAAGUUCUUGUUGUGUGAAAGAACUAUUAAAAAAAAUUGCAAUACUUCUGACGUUAAACUCUGCAAAGCGCACCACGCAAUUAUUAUUGAAUGAACUCCGUAGAAAGAGCUGGUAUGCUGUAAUUUGGAAAUAAUAUAACAGCUCAGUAAUUCACAUAUUUAGCUGCUUUUGAGAGAACAUCCUUCGUUUUCUCUUGAAACAAGUACAUAAUUUCAUUACUACACCAGGCUGAUACCACAUAAGCCCAAAACCACGCUAAAAUCAGCUAAAACCAGCAAGGCAACGCCAGCCUGCACCCAGGCUCGAACCAAGCCAGGCCGUGCUGCAGGGAUUCACAAGGUGCAGCCGCUCGUCCCGCAGGCUGCGGGGCCGUGCCCAGCUGCGGGGCGAGGGGACUUCAGGCAGCGUCUUGCCGCACACCUCUUGCACCUGCAUUUACCUUUGGAAAUGGAUCAUACUUGAUAUUAUUAUCACGAAAAGGACUUGCUUUAAGGCAACUUAAUGCACGCUCCCGAGGAGGAGACCAUCCCAAGCACUUCGUGGGUGCUGUGCCCACGUGGCCGGGCGCGUGCCUUCCCUCCCCGCCGUGCCAGGCACGGCCGGGCUCCUCUCGCCACAUUAAUUGACCCACCGAGUUAAUGGGUAAACAAUUAACCAGCGCGCGAAGUGGCUAUUUGCUAAAGACCACAGCAGGGCCGCAUAACUUAAGGAUUUUUAUUAUUCUUUUUUUUUUUUUUUAUUAAGCUAAGGCUGUUUUCGCAGCUGGUCAGAUAAGCCCUGGGUUAGAGCAGAGUCCAAGCGCGGUUGGAGCUGAGUCAGCCCCAGCAGCAAGGCUCUCCCGUGGAGAUCACAGCCACGUUACGGGCUCGAGAGGAAAAACGCCACUUGCCUACAGCCCAACCAAAAAUCCAGGAGCAGGGGCAGCGGCACAGGGCACCCCCGGGCAGGGAGGGCAGCACAGGAAUGGUGCCAAGCACCGGGUCCUGCAGAGCUGCCCUCUGGGCUGCAGCAACCAGCGCCGUCUGUCCUGCGCUGCUGAUGCCCUGGAGAAGCCACAUCCAAAAUUUGCCGAUAUUGCCAGCUUUUAGGCUGCAAUGGUACGAAGGGCACAGAGAGAGAACCCAAAGAAUAGCGGCAAAUUGCAGAAGGGUGGAGAAAUAGGAUGAGAUGCCCUGGAAUCGAGGGCUACACGCUUGUGUUUGGCUGCUGCCAUCCGGGAUAGAAAACGGGCAGCAGUUUGUUAAGGAAAAAAAAGGGGUAAGCAAAGGGAGCCCGGGGGUGUCAGGGGGUCAGGAACCGUCAGUGUGACGCAGCAGAGGAGGGGCAGGCCAAGAGGCACUGCCCGGCAGCCAGCAGGGAGGUACGGUGCCGGAUUAGAGCACUUGACCUGUGCGACAUCGGUGUCGGGAUCGGGACUUUACCCAAGAAGGAAAAGACCUUGGAAAAAACACGCCAGCAGGCUGCAAACGUGCAGCAGGCUGCUGUCAGCAGGCCAGAUGGGGCAGCGACUGGUACGGAGCAGCACCGACUGGGGACCUUGCAGCAUCCCCACAGCCCGAAGGCUGCAGCACAAAGCUGGGGGAGCGAAGGGGAAAACCCAGAGCAAACAGUCAGGGGCGAAGGAAAGCUCUGGGGAGAAUGAGCCAACAAGGGAACAACAGGGAGACGGCCCCAAACUUCCCUUCAACCAGUAAAAUGCAGGCACUGGCGACGGUGACCGCACCAGGAAUCAAGGCUUCAGCUAGAGGAAAACUGACUGUAAAAUAAAAAUCAGCUACGUUAAGCCCCGAUGCUGUCAAUACGUUGCAAACCCCAAGCUACGCGCUGUCAGUCCUGCUAUUCUGCAGGCCUGAUCUCUCGUUUUGUUAUUCGCCAUUUUAUUUCUUAACUGGUUUAUUACUUAGGGAAUCAUAGAUAAUCUCAGCCUUCUGUAAAGGAACAGUGUCAUUCUGCUUGGUGCACAGGAGAGCAAAAGCGAGGCCUUAAAUGCGUGGAAACUGGGAGACAAAGUAUAUUUUAACAUAUUUAGCAUAUUUUAGUAAAUAUUCACAAAUGGUUCUGUGCUUUGAAGGCACUCCAGUCCUGAUGUGAAGAUGUGUGCACCUGGUAACAGCACAGACGACCAAAAAUUUGGUCAGCCCGAGUGUAUUCUCUUAAAGCUGUGGCAGAUCCGCCACAAGCUCAAUCACUGCCCCGUAAGGAGCACCACGCAGACCUAGGAAACCCAGCGAGGCCUCGCUUGGGAAGGAGAAAGCGCGUGCAGCAAAACCAGGCAUUCCCUGCUGAUGCCCCCCAGGCCUCGAUGCUCUCCAUCACCUCCCGUCCCCGCGGCGAGAAGCGCUCUGGUCCUGACAGCCGCCCUCCUCUCGGUUCUCACGCCACCCCUCCCAGCACAGUGACCUCUUGGCAAGGGCUAAGAACGACCUCCGUUCCCACUCCUGGCUCUGUCCCGCCGGCAGCAGGACCCACGCGAGCCUCCCCGUGCACGACUGCAAAACGGACGGGCUCGGGCUGAAACAGGGCACCGAAAUGGGGAAAAUGACUCGAGCCUUGGGCUUCCCGCUGCUGCUGCCAGGAGCCCGGGUGCCGUGCGGGCACCGAGAGCCCAGGCUGGAUGCCAAGGAAAUCCUAUGCACCAUGCCCUCAACAGCUCCUGCCUGGUGGUGAAAGGUUUUCCAUGUAAAUAUUUCCCAAUUUCUCGCAUUUUAAACCUAAAAUUAGCUUUAAUGGAGAAAUACCGCCAGGAGGAGCCAGGCUGGCCCGCCGCCCCGGCACAACCCCAACGCCCCGGCCCAACCCCAGCACCCCGGCACCACCCCGUCCCGCUGGUUCCUUCGCUUCUGUCCCAGUUCCUCGGCAGGUGCCAGACCCCGGCCUCGGAGUCCCUCCAGCACCGGCCACUGGGCUCACACAAACAAGCCCUGAAGAGGAACUAAAGCAUUGCUGCCAGCCCGGGAAGAUCUCCUGGAGCCGGAGAAGGACUCAGCUAGGGAUCUGGAUCAGCAGCAAGCAGCGUGUUCGGGCACGGUCCCAACCUACACCACUUAUCUCCGGCUCGUUCCUGAUAAAACCCUAAUAUUUCCAAACACGGCUUCCAAACCAAUUCCUCUCGGAAAGCCAAGCCCCUCUGUUUACCAGCAGUCCCUCUGGAGGCAGGAGCCAGCCAGCAUUUCCCGCUCAAUGCCUGCAGCGCAGCCGUCUGCCUGCGAGUUAUUGGUCUCCGCCGGCCUUCUCCGCGAGGGUUUCUGCCAAGCCCCGAGCCUGCCCGAGGGAACCGCCGGGUGACGGGGACCCACGCGUCCGGCAGCACAGGGGGAUGCCUGGAGCGCCCGUCAGGAGCACGGGCACCUGCGUAAAUCCCCGCUGCCCGGGCUGCACCGUGGCUGAGAGCCCCGAGCUGCCUCCUGCGGCACCCGUCCCGUCCCGCGGCGCUUGUGCCGCGGGAAAGGCAACAGGAGAGCAGGGGGAGGCCAAGGGCAGCGGCGAGGAGUUUUCACAGCUCAGGACAGGCGAGAGCAAGUUAAGAACACACCAUGGGUUGUCAGACAAUGGGAGGAAAUGGCGUGAAGGGCUGGCUCCUGCCCUCCUCGCUCUGCAGAAGCCUCGACAAGCAGCAGGUAACCGCUGCCACAAGACACUCCGGCAAACCAACGCCCGGAGAAGCUCAGAUUGCUUCCCGGGGACUGACAUAGGUCCCCGGUACAACGCUCAUUCCCACUCAAACCAGUUUUUAAAAUCAUCCUUAUCUUUUAAAUGACUUGCUUCAAAACAGCCGUGCUGAUGUGGAGUUGGAAAGCCAGCUGUCUGCAGCAAAGCUGGCAGCGGAUGGGAGCUGCUGGUGGCAGCGCGGUGCUCCCCGCAGCCCGCUCGCUGGGCAGAGCUGGAGGAGUCCGAUCCAGGAGGCUGUAUGAGCAUCAGUGACUGGCAUUUACUUUGCCAUUCCACUUCCCGGGAAUACAAUUUGUGGCAGUACUGG